CUCCUGUCUCUUAAUUUCAACUGUACGAUCGUUCCUUUAGAACUAAACAAUAUUAUUUUCUUUUCGGUAUGUUAACAUUUAUCAAUUAAUUAAAUGCUGUCCAGAUAUUACCAUUGUUCUAAUGCAUUGCAAUAAUACAUCGGUGGUGGAAUAAAUGACUGACCAAUAGUCAAUAACUUGGAAUAUCCGAUUGAAUAACUAAAUAUUUGUAGGUAAUAAUGUCAACAUUUACAUCAUACCUUUUUAUGGC
rnacentral:lncRNA from 1 species